CCCCAAAUUUGUUGAGAGAGAACAAGAAAAAAAAUCCCCAAUACUAAAUUUUUUGAUCAUUUCUUCUCUUUCUAAUAAUUUUCUUCGAUCAAGUUUUCUCUCUGCCCUUUUAUUUCACUUUUCAAUUAAUUUUUUUCUUCAUUGUCAAUUUCAAUUAUUUCUUUCUUUCUAUCAAGAGGGAGAAGUAAAAAUAAUUGUCUCAUGCUUUUGAUAUGUAGCCCAAUGAUUGAGGCUUGAUUGAUAUAAUGGAUUUUUUAUGAUCACUAAAUGUAGGAGAUUCGAUGAUUUCGGAUAAAAGAAAGCCAAUAGAACGAACAUAUUAAUCAAAUUCCGCCGUCCUUCAAUUCAAUGGAUCGAGGACUAGCCGAGCAGGCAAGUUCUGAACCGAAAAAACCAAACCGAACCGAACCGAACCCGUUCGCUCUAUCCGAACACGAACCAACCAAAGAAGCAAACCAUGAGGCCGACGAAGCCUCCUCCUCCUCCGGUUACACCUCCGAUGACUCAGACGACGACGACGACGAAUUCUUCCAACUUGACCCACUUGGGCUGGACCACACCAGACGAGCCGACACGAUGCGAGCUACGGU